GUCAUUGCGAAGUGGGAUCUGAAGGGAGUCGAACGCAAACGCUCGCGCUGACGAACAGAAAUUAUGUAAAAUGGACGCAUCUGCUUGAUAAGACAUAGUCCGAAAAUAUUAUAAUUUUGUGUGUAAAAACAGGGUAUAAUAAAUUAAAGGAAGACUAA
rfam:Staphylococcus microti strain DSM 22147 contig_106, whole genome shotgun sequence.